ensembl:lncRNA
CAGCAGACAGUAGAGGGAACCACUGAGGUCUCAGUUGCUCCAGUAGCAAUAUCUAAUAUCAAGGAAGAGGACAGAUUCUAUCCUUUCUCCCUCCCACCACUGGCUCAGCGGUUCAUUGGCAAUUCAUUCAAUGUCCCGGAAACAUCCCAGCUUGCUGUUUCAGCCACGGAGUGCCGAGUUGCCAAAGUGGCCACUGCAGGUACAGCCACUGUCAGGAGAGAGAACCGAUGGGCAGGUAGAAUUCUUCCUUCAGUGCUGCCUCCAAGUCUGCCACAUGUCUUUGACAUUGCCAGGGAUGGCAGUAGAGGGAACCAAUAAGUGUCCAGUUGCCAGGGAAACAACCAAUGAUGUGUCCACUCACCUCAAAGAGGACAUGGCAGCUGAUCAAAGCCCUCCUGACCCUGCAGCACUGCCUCCAAGCUCACCAUGUAUCCGUGACUCUGACCACAAACUGACCAAGGAGGAAAAAGAGGAUGUACCCGAGUCCUACGUUGCCACAGAGAUCACUGUAGGCACAUCCAUUGUCCAGGGAGAGGACCUGGAUAAAAGCCCUGCUCCAAGCCUGGCAUGCAUCCAUGACAAGGACCACAAGCAGCCAGAUCAGAAAGGGAGGGGCACUACUGUGGAGGUGGAUAUCUGCCCUCAUGCUCACCAGCUGGUCUCAGAUGCUAAAUUAACUCUGGCAACCUGCAAUGAUGAGCCGCCCACCCCUCUGAUCUGCGUGGUCACUAAGAUGCCUGUUAGAGUUGGAGCCUCCAUAUGCAGGUCAGAGGAUGAGGAACCCAGGCCCUGGACCCUGGAAGAGGCAAAGGAUUAUUGGAUAGGCAUUGAAAAUGAGAGUGAAGAGAGGAACGUCACUGAGGAGGUGAGCCCAAGGGAGGGAUUGAAGAGUGAGGCGGACUGUGUCCAUUCCAAGUGCUCCAAUGGGACAGUUUCAUCAGAGAGAGCAGAGACCAUCCUGGGAAGAGUGGGCUUUCUGCUCAUGAACCAAAUUCAGAAAAUCCCGUUUUUGAAGAUGGAGGAAAAAGAGAAAAAUAAGAAACUGAAUAAGAAGUUGAAAGAUAAAGAGAGAAAGGAGAUGAAACACAAGGAGGCGGAGCAAAAAAAGAGAGAGAAGAAAGAGAUGAAGGAGAGAGAGAAAGAGCAGAAGAAAGUCAUGAAGGCUGAGAAGAAGAGGGAGAAGUUAGAACAGAAAAAGAGAGAGAAGGAAAGAAAAGAGAAGGAAAGGGCAGAGAAAAAGAGGUUAGAGGGGCUGAUGAAGAUACAUAAUGACAUGAUGAAAGACAGAAUUAAGAAAGAGAAGAAGUGUUAUGAGGAGCUAAAAAAGAGAGAGAAAGCUCAAGCUGCAUUCUUGGAGAUGGAGAGAAAGAUUCAAGAAAAGGAGGAGAAGAAGAGAGAAAAGAUGAGGAAAGAGGAGAGGAAGAGACUGGAGAAGAAGAGGAAGAGGGAGCCAGCUGGAGGUGGAACUGAGACGGUGAUAGAAGAGCAGGGAAGGGAUGAAAGCUUGAAGAUGAAUGAGUAGACUGGGUAAUAGAGAGUAGGGAGGGAGGGAUAUGGUAUUUUUGCAUGCAAUGAAAAAAC